CAGCCGCGGUAAUACGUAGGUGGCAAGCGUUGUCCGGAAUUAUUGGGCGUAAAGCGCGCGCAGGUGGUUUAAUAAGUCUGAUGUGAAAGCCCACGGCUCAACCGUGGAGGGUCAUUGGAAACUGUUAAACUUGAGUGCAGGAGAGAAAAGUGGAAUUCCUAGUGUAGCGGUGAAAUGCGUAGAGAUUAGGAGGAACACCAGUGGCGAAGGCGGCUUUUUGGCCUGUAACUGACACUGAGGCGCGAAAGCGUGGGGAGCAAACAGGAUUAGAUACCCCUGUAGUCCCUGUCUCUUAUACACA
rnacentral:rRNA from 1 species